AGUGAACGCUGGCGGUAGGCCUAACACAUGCAAGUCGAACGGCAGCACAGUAAGAGCUUGCUCUUACAGGUGGCGAGUGGCGGACGGGUGAGGAAUACAUCGGAAUCUACUUUUUCGUGGGGGAUAACGUAGGGAAACUUACGCUAAUACCGCAUACGACCUACGGGUGAAAGCAGGGGAUCUUCGGACCUUGCGCGAUUGAAUGAGCCGAUGUCGGAUUAGCUAGUUGGCGGGGUAAAGGCCCACCAAGGCGACGAUCCGUAGCUGGUCUGAGAGGAUGAUCAGCCACACUGGAACUGAGACACGGUCCAGACUCCUACGGGAGGCAGCAGUGGGGAAUAUUGGACAAUGGGCGCAAGCCUGAUCCAGCCAUACCGCGUGGGUGAAGAAGGCCUUAGGGUUGUAAAGCCCUUUUGUUGGGAAAGAAAAGCAGCAGGUUAAUACCCCGCUGUUCUGACGGUACCCAAAGAAUAAGCACCGGCUAACUUCGUG
rnacentral:rRNA from 1 species